UAAUACGGAGGGUGCGAGCGUUAAUCGGAAUUACUGGGCGUAAAGCGUACGCAGGCGGUCUGUUAAGUCAGAUGUGAAAUCCCCGGGCUUAACCCGGGAACUGCAUUUGAAACUGGCAGGCUAGAGUCUCGUAGAGGGGGGUAGAAUUCCAGGUGUAGCGGUGAAAUGCGUAGAGAUCUGGAGGAAUACCGGUGGCGAAGGCGGCCCCCUGGACGAAGACUGACGCUCAGGUACGAAAGCGUGGGGAGCAAACAGGAUUAGAUACCCUGGUAGUCCACGCUGUAAACGAUGUCGAUUUGAAGGUUGUGGCCUUGAGCCGUGGCUUUCGGAGCUAACGCGUUAAAUCGACCGCCUGGGGAGUACGGCCGCAAGGUUA
rnacentral:rRNA from 1 species